UCUAAAAAGUUAUGCAAAAGCUAAACAUUUACCUUGAGCUGCUGAAAUGGCGGCGGUUUCACGGUACCGUCGCUUUCACCGACAGUAAAACGUAAAACCCGGUCGUGGUAACACCAGAGUCCAAACCACGCGCUCCUAGAGCCGACAAUGCACAAAUAUCGAUGGAUUUCGUUGGCUAUGGAUUUUAACGGAUAUGUGACACUAGCGGCACCUAGAAAAGUUGAAAACUACAUGACGUCGGGGUUAAACAUCAAUAAAUAAAUAAAUUGGUAGCGUUUGUUUUAUUCAUACAUUAGUUUGGUGACUUAUCAAUUUAAACAAAUCUCCACAGACAAAUUAUAACAGCACAGUCGUACCGUCGGUGUCAUCCUUGGUGUUAUCCUACGUUGAUUUCAUGAAUUGCAGUUUACACCAACACGCUCGGCAACAAGCAGUAAAAUAAUUAUGCCUAAUUUUUAACAACAAACAAGAAAAGUAGCGAGAAGUAUAUUCUUAUUGAAUCAUAUACCGACUAACCACUGAUCGGUAUAGCCAGCUUCGCGACCUCACCUGUCUCGGCUGGCAACCCGAUUUUCGAGUUUUGUUCUUUUUCUUUGUUUCUUCCGUGUCCACGUUGUUGCUGUCGCGUGUCAACGGUUAUACAACGGUGUUACUAAAAUAUUUUUAUUUCUGUUUUAAGUAGUAUGGUGCGUGUGUGGCAGUACUCACGUUGGACAAUGUUCCAGAAGAACUUUUCGUCUAGUUGAACUAUCUGCUUGAGUUGUCCAUUUCGGCACAUCCAGUCUGCGACUGUGAGCUACAGGUACGUUGACGGUGUAUGUGAAAAUUGCACGCACUCAUGCCUUUGUCAACUUGUUUUCUUAGGUCUGCACGGUGGAGAGGGGCUUCCCCACGCCUGGGUCAAGCACAUCCAGUCUGCCGCUGUGAGCUACAGACGGACACUCCCUCCAAGGUCUGACUAGGACAUGGGUCAGACAACAGCAAGACAGCUGCUAAAUAUAUGGCAGAAGAGCUUUCCAGGGCAGAAAGGUAUUGCACAGUUGACAAAAAGGGCGACUGUCGAGGAGUGGAGCCACCAGAAGAUCUGGAGAAAAUGCAUACUAUUAAAAUUAUCAUCUUAUUUCAAUAUA